UUCUCCUCAGGGCCUCAGUCCCUGUGACUCGGUGACCACAUUUGCUCUGCACCCUGCAAAGCCAGCACCCAAUACUCAGCGUCUGGCAUGUGAAAGGGGCUUGAGAAAGAAACAGAAACUGUCUGAGAGCUGCGGAACUGGUCCUGUAAUGGGUGGGAACACUUGGCAGCUUGUUCUACUGGAUGCUCCACCAACCAGCGCUGGGCUUACCUGCUGAGCACCUGGGAGCGGUCACAGCAUGGUAAUCGGAGGUUGAGAAACCUUAGGCCUUUUGAUAGUCCAAGGGUGUUAGAAUUAGCUCAACCCAGAGCCACCCCCACUUCAACUCGGCAGAGUUAGAAUUGCUGUCAUCAGAAUCAGCCAGCUAUGGGCUCUCCUGGGGGUUGGAGGAUGGCUCUGUCCCUGGGAGAACCACCCCAAAAACCUCCUGCUAACUCUGAGAAAACCUAAAGCAGACUCUCAGCUCUGGUAUAGGAUGGGCUUUGUUAUAUGGAGUGUCGCUUUCUACCAGCCCUCCCCACGCCUACCUUGCCGAAACUGCCAUUUCCUGGAUGUUAAACAGAGAGCGAUGUUCUCAGUGGCACAGCCACACUCAUGUUCUUUGCUACAACCGAGCAGGGCCGUCCCAUUGGCUCUCUUGAGGGGGUGGGUUUUAGAGGUCCUGCCAGCCGUUUCUCAUAUUUCAAAGAGUCUGCCUCAAAAUGGGAUUUGCAUCCCAACCAAAAUGCCAAGGACCUCAAACAAAAAAGCAAAACCAACCCUAUAUUUGAUGCUAGUUUUGACUUCUCUUUUUCUUAGCUUGUAUACUCUGUUGCAGAUGAUAUUUAGGAUUCGUCUUUGAGACAAAUAAAUGAUUGAUACACCUAA